CCAAAUGAAUAGAUUAAAUGGACAAUUAAAGUGAACAUUAAUUUUAAGGAUCUAAAUAUACCCAAACAUGAAUUAGGGAACAAAAGAAAAUGGUAUAUUAAUAAUCCAAAUCAUGAAUUGAAUUCUAAUCUAAAUGAACAUGAUCAUGACAAUCAUAAUGUGAUAUACGGAUUGAAUGAAGAAAUUAACCUAUAACGAAAUCAUGGUAAAAUCAAUAUCUAACUAUAUAAAUCCCAAUCUACACAAUGAUCACAAUGGAUUAUCAAAAACCAAUGGCAAAUUAUAUCAUAUUGUGGCAUGAUUAACAAUGGCAUUAAUUCUAAAACAUCGGGAUCAAAAUCUACAUGAUGCCCAGCCUAUACAUUGCUCCAUCUUAACGGGAUUCCUUGCUCGAACAACACCUUCGACAGCAUAUCAUAGAACUCCAUCGACGGUGCAUAACCCUCGCACGCACAACCCAUAAAAACUCACCGAAAAAACAAGAAAUCAGUUUCUUCCACGAUGAAAAAGUCGAGAACGACGGUGGAUUCGUGAUGUAUUUCAACACCGAGACUGAAAUUUCGCACGAAAUGGAGAAGAUUGAAGAGGGAAGAACCUUGUAUUUGUGUUGUUGAUCUUGUUGAUUCGUGAUGGAGAUCGUAUGAUGAAUGCUGAAAUGCUUUAUUCCGCGUUCGUCGAUGCCGAUUUAUCGUUGAUGAUAAAGAGUGAAGCUUGGUUCGUGCGUUGUUGAUUGAAGCUGAAGACGAAGAUUUGUUCGGACUUGUGCAUUGAGAUGAACUGGUAUGUGUCGUCGACUUCUCGUCGAAGUUGAGGCCAUGGUUUUGGGAUUUACUUGAACUUUGGAUGGGCAUUGGCUUGGAAUUGCUUGGGUGGAGCUUUGGACAUGUUGGUCAUCAAGUGGUUAUUGGAUUUUGGGUUUUGUAGUUUUUGGGAGAUAGGAUUAGGUAUGCAAUGUUGGUUUACAAUUGCAUGUGAUUGGAAUCCAGGUUGUGUAAAAAAUGGUUUUUGUUGCAAUUUGAAAUUGGGAAUAACAUUGUAAUGGUUGUGUUGAACGGUUAUGUAUAGUCAUGUAAUUGGAAUUUUGAAUGAAUAGGAUUUGGAUCAUGACUUUGUAAUUUUAGAAGUGUAAUGUAAUUUGAAUGUUUUAAUUGUAAUGAAUGGUUUUGUAAUAAAUAAAAUGGAAAUUUGAAUGUAA